AGCAGUACAGCCACGACUCGGCAGACCCAGGCAUCCUCGUGCUCCUGGCCUGCGGUACCAUAUCCAGCACCUGCGGCCAGAUAGCCAGUUACCCGCUGGCCCUGGUCCGGACCCGCAUGCAGGCACAAGGCUGGAGUACAGUGGCUCGAUUUCAGAUCACUGCAACCUCUGCCUUCCAGGUUCAAGCGAUUCUCCUGCCUCAGCCUCCAGAGUAGCUGGUAUUACAGCCGGUGGUCAUGCCAUGAGCAGCCUUAUGGAGAGGACCAUGUGG
rnacentral:lncRNA from 10 species